ACAAGGGAAAAAAAAGGAAUAUAAGAAAGCAACUGUGAAUCUGAGGCUUCAUUUUGAGUUUUCCCCCAAAACAAAAAGGGGAAAACUAAAAGCCUGAUAGGUUACCUUUUUCUAACAAGGAACAACUGUCUCUACUUCGGGUUGCAUGCUUUCUCAAGUUUGAGUUUAGACAGACCACUCUUUUGUGAAUCUUUGCAUAAAGGGUCAUUGAAUAAUGGUCAGAGGCAUUGUCUUUGAAUGUUUUACAGAUAUGCUGAGGUUUGUACUUAGAACUUCUCAUUUUACAUUCAGCCUUUCAGUGAAAGGCGAACGUGAAGCUGACAUUUUAUAAUGGCAAAACUUAGGGGGCCAGAGCUAUAAGACAUGUUCAGAAGACAGGGAUAUGUGUCUUUUUUUCUCUUGUAUUGCUCAUGGUACCUAGCACAAAGUUGGAGAUGUGAUAGACUCUUUAAUACAGGUAUUCUUAUAUGGUUUACCAUGGCAAAAUCAACUUUCAAUUUUGUUUGGUUUUCAGAGUACUUUUCAUGAUAAAAAGGUUCAUUUGUUUUACUCUCAGAGCAUGCUCUGAGCUGAGAAUUAUAAACUAAAGGAGAAAAUAAUGAUGAGCAAAUAAUUGCCCAGGCUCCUAUGGAGAGUUCUCAGUAGAGCUGGAUUUGGUAACUUGAUGAGUUGUCACUGGCAAAUUUAGCAUUCACAUGUCAGACCUAGAAUAAUGCUAGAUGCUUAUCCCUCUCGUAUGGGAGCAGCCAGGAAGUCAGAAGAGGACCACAGACAGAGCGUUUGUUGGUGACAAGGGCUUUCAUAUCUUCAGAACUUGGCAAUAAGUAUUUUUAAAUAAUGGGAAGAAUGAAUUAUUUGAUUUCUGUGAAUUUAAAUUGCAAAAAUGAAAUAUGUGGGAGAAAACAGGUGCCUCCAUCUUUAACUGGAAUUGACAAAGCAGCAUUCACAAAGUGGCAACAAUUUCCUUUGACAUUUAUGAUUGCCCUAAUGCUGUUAAUCAGUGUGAGAUUAUUAUUUUUCCUUUCACAAAUGGAGAAACUGAGGUUCUGAGGGGUGAAGUGAGCUUACCCCAUUCCACAAAACUUGUAACUGCUGAUUCCCAGUUCUUUGUUCAUUUUAUUAGGCCAUGGAUGUUUCCUUAAAUAUAUUUCUCUGGGAAUAAAAUUCUCUUACAGAUCUUCUAGAAAUGGGGAUCUUGGCUUUCUGAAAUGAAAUUAUGUAUGGGCCAGAAGCCAGGAGAUGGAACGUGUGCUUUCUUACGUGUUUUCCUUCCAGCUUCCUUAGUCACGAUUCUUCAUUAUAACUUUGGUAUCUCUGAUAUUGAGUUAACUUUGACGAUGGUAUGGAUGAUGGUGGAUGGGUGGUACAUACAACUUUGAAGCACAUGAUGACUCUCUGGCCACCUACUUUAUUCUCGUAUUUCCCAAGAGGAGGUAAAUACUUCAUUUUAGAGAAACUGGACUCUAACCUAAAGUGGCCGAGAAGUCUAACCUGCAUUGUAAUCUUCAUCAAAUGAAAACACUUUGUUCUUAAAAGUACACUUGUUCCUUCUUCUUGCCCUUGACAAUUUUCUGUUUGAAGCAGCAAGGAACAGAGGAAAGAUAACAUAGUUUAUUCUAUGGAUUUCUACCAGUUCAAUUUUUAAAGUGUUAGCCUCUUAAAAUAAAUGUUUUCAUAAAAGAUCAUGAAGAAACUCGGAUUUUUGUCACUCCAUCAAUAUGUAGGAGGAGGGUAUGUCUGGGUAAGAGCCAAACAAUUAAGGUGUUACUGACCAGAAGUCUCUUGGUUUGCUGUCAUAAAAUGUCACAACUAUCAGCAACCACAAAAUCUUCAAUAAAUGGCACUGCAGACAGAAAUUUUUCUUAACAGUCUGGGUUUGUGAAUUCUCUUUUUUCCUUUCUGGUUUCCCUCUGUAGAUGUCUCUUUCUUCCUUUGUGCUUGGUCUCUCUGUUUCUCUUACUAACAACACACAUAUUUCUCCAUCUCUGUAUCAUCAUCUUCUAUUAGUUUUUCACAAGUGUAUUUCUGUGACUAAAAGGAUCAACAGAUGCUGACUUCAAUAUUGUGAAGCAUCCAGAAAAAGAACAAUUAAUUUAUAACAAACCUGCUUUGCUCUAACACUGACAGCUUUUGAAAAUGUAUACUGUAUGUGAGAUCCACAUCUCAUUUUGUUUUCAUUUAGAUGGUCAACAGCAUUUAACUCGAAGUUAGGUUUAAAUUCCCCCCAUGAGACUUGUCAGUUUUUGUCAGAAAUAAAACCAAUGAAUAUUUCCAUUUUAAAUAUUUAAAAGACCUUUUAAAUAAUGUGUUGAUAUUUUUGCUUGCAUUUUUGUUAUUAUCUUAACACUCUCUAUUGCUAUCUGCUUCAAUAUAGGAAAAAUGCAGUUACAAAUGUUUCCUGGUUAUAGUUAUUAAGAAUUAUCCCUAAUCUUAGGCUAGAUAUAUACAGAAGAUAAUCGUGUUCUAGAGUGUUCCUGCUGAAUAAAGUUGCCACUUAAUAAGAAACAGAUAUCAUGACUAGGUUGCCCUUGGAACUAACUGUCCAAGCGUGAACAAAUAUAUAUACUACAUCACACAUACACUCACAGUGCACAACACACUUAUACACUUCUCACAUACUCGCCUUUCUUUUACAACUUUCUGGCUCAGCAUGCCCAUGUCAUGAGCUAAUUCUGACCUAACAGAGAGGCUGUGCAGUCUUUCAGCUAGUGGAGGCUGAGAAAAUUGUGCAGCAAUAGGUCCAGUCCCUGGAAGAUGAAGUUAGUUAGCAUUUGGUGCCCAGCCAGCAGCAAUGUGACUUAGGCUUUUCGUCCUAGUAGGUAUGGAGUUCUGCUCUGAGCAACAAUUCAUUUAUUUUGUGCCAAUAUUCUGACUAGCUCAUUCUAGAAUCUUCUAUUUUGGUCAGAAUCUGUCCUAUAUUCUUGGCUGUGGUUCAAUUCUUUCAAUCAAAGAUCUGCCUAAUCCUGUUUUCCCAUAGCUAAUGUUGACAGGGUUCACCACGCCAUCUUCAUCUCCGCCCCCACUUCUCAUCUUCAGCCCAAACCAAUCUUCAUCUCUAUCUUCAUCUUUACUUCCAUCCACACAGCAAUCUUCAACUCCAUCUACCAAUACCAGUCUUAAGCUCCUGUGCCCCACCAUCCUCAGUCAUAGCAGUGCUCGAUGUGAUAACCUAAUCAAAAAUUUCAAACCAAACUGCCCAGCAUUCAUGGUUGUAAAGGACAUGUAGAAUCAGUCAACUGAUAGAUACAAAGUAACACUGAAACUGAUUGAGCAAUAAUCAGAAAGUUGGCGCUGCAAUAGCUUCCUCAGUUGUACCUCUCUGUCCACCGCCCAGCUCUUUCCUGUUGCUUCCAGUUCCUCUCACUUGUACUUCUUUAUUAACUAUUUGUUAACAUAACUUUCUAUGGUUUUCUUUCACCUAAGACCCAAACCUCUUCUCCUGGCUUGCAUUUCCACGACUCCCUGCCCAAGCCUGAGGUUGCACAAGAAACAUAUCUCUAAUUAAUGUCCCCUGUUCCAGGAAUUUGACUCAUUGGGCCUGCAAAAGAUUUUCGUGACAAAUGAAAUAUUUUUCUAAACCAAGGACUUGGGGAUAACUUCAGGGUCAAAGACAUCUUAUCAUAUUUAAGAACAGCCACAGGAUGUCUAGGAGCCAGCAGAGGGGCCAGAUAUGCUGCAGUUUAUGCUGUAAAAGGAAGCCUGCCGCCGUGAGUGGUCCAGUGGGAGCUCUUGCUUUGUGUCCUCAGCCUUUCACCUUUCCAUCUGAUGACUUGCUCUGAAUCUUCACUUCCUGGGCAGAGCUCUGAGUAUAGAUGAGGCAAACUUCACAUGGAAAAGAAGCCAUAUUUUGAAAAAACUACACGGAAUCAAAGAGAACUAACUCAAAGAAGCAAAAUUUUGGAGAUAAAACAAGGUAUCUGAUAGCAGUAGUGAUCUCAGGGUGGAUGACCCCCUACUGUUGCUCCUUCUUUUAAAUAAAACUCUUACUUGCAGGAGACAUACUGAAUGUAUUUGACCUUGGUGGCAGCUGGAAUUCAAAAAUCCUGGGUUGUGUUAGUUGACUAAGACAACAUUGUAGUACUGGUAGAGAAUUCUAAAAUCAGAAGAGCUUCAAUCUCUUCUAAUCUAAUUGACUAUGGAGAUUCAGGCAAGUUAUUCUGCCUCUGAGCCAGAUUUAAUUUCCUUAUCUAUAAUGUAAGGAGAAAAUCAAUAACUUUAAUAUUCUCUGAUUCAAAAUGUAAGCAAACAGAGGAAGGUGAUUGGCAACUUAGUUAAUUGGCAGGGUUAUUGGUAAAGAGUGAACACUGGGCAUUAUCCUUAAAGGUUAUGACAUUUGGAUAACCAUCUUGCAUCUUGGUCCAGUAGGCCAGCUACAGUAAUUGCUGUGGGUUAUGCUGAGUCUAGGACUGGAUUCCAAUUAAGCUGUGAUUUUUCACCAGUGCUAACUGUGGAAGGGCAGAUCCAUACAGAGCAUUCCUCAGCUAGGUAGUUUGAAUUAUUCCUAGACAGAUGCCUCCCAUUGAAGAGCACCUGGCAUUUUUACUAAGAGGAGAUCUAGCCAUUCUAGCAACUCUGAUUCACUCUCCUUUUGUUCAUCAUCUAUAUUUCUCCAUGGCUAUCCUUCCAAAGAGAAGCUAUUGCUAUAGUACACCUAACCAGAACAACUUUACCUCAAGGACACAGCUUUAUUAUCUGCUGAGGACCCUGAUCUAAUACUGUCAGGGUAGAGCCUGGUGUUCUGGGGAAAAUUUCAGGUUAUUAAAGCCAGUCCUAAUGGUUGGCUUAGAUAUGGCCUCUGUCUUGAUUUCCCUGCAUAGAACUUCUAUCUUUUAUUAAUUUGGUGCCAGUUGUAUAUUUUAAAGGGAGAGCUGUGGGUCUUGAUUUAAACCUGUAUAUACAUACAAGUACCUUGUUUUGUUAAACUACAUUGUCUUGCUCUUGUCAGUUUUAUCCUUAGAGGUCUGGACGUGCCCCAUCUCUGUACUUGAUUCUGCUGAGAAUACAGAGGUUGACAGUACCAUCAUGGCACACUACUCUGUGUGCACUGACCUAGGGCCUGGCACGCCUCAUAUAGAUACCUCCUAUCCCCUUUGUGCCUGCAUUUGUCUCAACCACAGGCCACAGUAGCUAACAUUCUCAGCUUUUGACCCACUAAUUUUUGGCUUUUGCCCAUCCCCAUUGACUCCCAUGUAGACCCUAUGUUCACCAGAAGGAUCCUCAUGUCUGCAGACUACAUUAAGAGGGAGGAUAUGCCUCUGUGAAUCCAACUGAUAGGUAUCUCCUGUGUGCCAGGGAAUGGCAGGGCCAUGGCUCUCUCAAAGCCAUGCUCAUAAAAAGCCUCCUCUGCAUCGACUUCCAGUCCCAUUUGAUUCUCAAGCAAGGAGUUCCAUCCGAGAAGGAAGCUGUCACCUGUCACUCUUUUAUGAAUUCUUAAGGACAGUGGAAGAGUUGAAAGGUUGGCAAUCACAAUGACAAUAGGCUAUUACAAGCAGGUGAAGAGCCUUCUUCUUUUGCUCCUUACCCCCAACUGCUGUUCAAAUAAUCAAAAAAGGGUCCUCAUUGAAACUGAUUUAAUUCUCAAGAGGAAUGAAAGACAUUUAAAGGGCAAGCCAACUUCAUAAAUGACAUUAAAAGGUUUUAAAAUAGUGUUUUGCUUCUAAAGGGUGUUUGUAAAUGUCAGAGGUAACAUAUUGAUUACAGUCCUGGCAGUUCUUGCUCAGGGCUUCUUAGCUGUCUUUGGCUUAACUCAUGCUGUUGACUUAUGCUCAUGGUAUGAAAUAUCUCAGCCAUCUUACUUUGUUUGCUUAAACUUUUCCAACCUACCAGACUUUAUCCACAUGUGAAUAAAAGGUACCAUCAAAUUAGUGGUGUUUAUAAUUUUUGUGCUUUUUAAUGUCUCGUGAAUUAUAUAAAGUUACGAAAAUGGCUAUAGGAAUUGGCCUACAAACUCUUGAGAUGUCCUAUAAGUUCCUACAAGAUAUUGAAAGUUGGUUGCUUUGAGGAUAUAAUUCUGAAUGUUGAAGCAAAUUAAAAAGCCAACUUGGAAGGGGAUACAUAAUCCUCUUUAAGUCAAGAUGAGGGGUAUAACCUCCCCCAUAUAUUCUGGGCCCAGUCGUCUGUGUUGAAAAGAACUCUGAUAGUUUAUUUGCUGAUACUAUUAAUGGGAGCCAAAAACAUUGUGGAGAAAGGUGAUAUUGUCAUCGUGAAUCUCUCUGAACUCCUGUUCCCAAUUUGUAGCCAGUAAGAGAGCAUGAUUGCUCUGACUACAGGAUUAUACUAAGUCUCUAAGGAAAUGAGAAUAGUGCACAUGUGUACUCUGAUUUAUAGUUUGCAAAGGCCAUUCAAUAAUUGGUAAAGCCGAAACCAAUGAAUUUCCUUCUGAUUUUCAGCACCAUUCAGAAUCUGGACAUAUAAUAUGUUUAUGGCAUUUAACCUAGUCAGACAGUAGAUAUUGCUCUAAGUCAUGGCCUACACCUGUGAGCCUACUUAUAUCAGCAUUUGCCAAAUGUACUUGUAGCUGUGGUACUGACCUCAGAGAACUUAGCCAAAGAGCAAAGACUGCCUAAUUCAAGAAGUACUGGCUGUACAGGAAGCAUAAUGCCAGCAUCUGUUUCUGGUGAGGCCUCAGGAAGCUUUUACUUAUGGUGGAAGGUGAAGGAGGAACAGGUGUCUCACAGGGCAAGAGGAGCAAGAGGGAGCAGAGAAGAUGUUCCAGGAUUACUUCAUGCUGUCCAGGUCCUAGACAUGGAAUCGUUUGCUUCUUCAAAAGUCUGGAUCCCUUUAAGAUACGAAAUGUAUUUAGAAACCAAAGUAUGGAUGCUAGGUGUGCUCAUGGCCAUUGGAGUGUGUUUCUAGACCCAGGAAUAAGCAAACAAUGGCCUGUAAACUAUAUCCUGUCUGUGGCCUGUUUUUGUACAUCCUAAGAACUAAAAAUUAUUUUAAAAAUUGUAAAUGGGAAAAAGUCAACAACAACAAACAAAUCAACAAAUAACCCCACAAAUAAACAGUUUCUUAAAGACCAGAAUGACCAAGAAAUCUAUGAAACAGAGACCGUAUACUGCCCAGAAAGCCUAAAGUAUUUACUGUGUAUCCCUUUAUAGAAAAACUUUAUCAAUCUUGGUUCUAUUUUUAGUAUACAGAGCUAGGAAAAAUUAUUUCAUAAAUAAUACUGAGUUUAUAAAGAACU
rnacentral:lncRNA from 1 species